GUGGUAAAAAUGCGUGGCUUUCAGGUUAAAUGGGGGUUUGUCGAAGAGAAAAUGCAUGAUUUCUGGGUUGAAUGUUUUUUUUUUUUCCUUUAGAGAAAAGUGGUGAUUUUUGAUUGUGUAUUUUUCCAAGAGAAAAUGCAUGGUUUUUCGAUUAAACGGGGGAUUUUUGAAAAGAAAAUGCGUGACUUUCGGUUAAAUGGGGGAUUUUUGUGGUAAAAAGGCAUGGCUUUCAGGCUAAAGCGGGGAUUCUCGAAGAGAAAAUACAUGAUUUCUGCAUUGAAUGUUUUGUUUUGUUUUCGUUUAGAGAAAAGUGGUGAUUUUUGAUUGUGUAUUUUUCCAAGAGAAAAUGCAUGGUUUUUCGAUUAAAUGGGGGAUUUUUGAAAAGAAAAUGCGUGACUUUUGGGAUAGGUCAGAGAUUCUUGAAGAGAAAAUGCAUCAUUAUUGGGUGACAUGGGGGAUUUCCGAAGCGAAAUUGCGUUUUUUCGAGUUAAAUGGGGGUUUUUGAAGAGAAAAUGCAUGAUUUUCAUUUACAUGUGAGAUUGUUGUAGAGGAAAUGCGUGACUUUGGGGUUAAAUGGGGGAUUGUUGUAGCGAAAGUGUUUGCUUUGGGGCUCAACUGGGGGAUUUUUGAAGAGAAAAAGCGUGAUUUUCAG
ensembl:lncRNA